GAUGCACAUUUACCAGAGUGGACUGUCUCUUCCAGACAUUCUGCACAGAAGCUGAACAUGGCCUCAAAGAGUGAGCCUAGUACCAGGUCUGUGUAUGUCAGAAAAGCUGAAGACUUGUGAACCCCCUUGCCUGCAGGUGAGGAUGGGCUUUCUGUGCUCUGCUUGUCUCAGAGCAUUUGACUGAGCAUCAAUUAAGAUACCAUGGGAGAAAAUGCAUCAAGAAAGGACUCACAUGGAGGUUUUUUGAAGGUCAUUGCCAUCAUACCACUUCAACCUGGGGACGAGCUGCACUCCAGUUCCCAACAAUCGUGAGAGCCACGUCUUUCCGAGCUGAGCUCAUUGGAGGUUCUGUUGAGCACGGAUAGCUUUGGAUAGGCUGUGUCCUCACACUUCUCUGGUGAAUAGACAUGUCUGCCUUCUUGUGAGGGUGUCCUAAGUUCCCCUCCUCCAGAGAGGCAACGUAGAGUUUAAUCAGCUAAUGCUGUUAAAAACUUGGAUGAGGAGGCAAGGCAUCAUGAUUGAAGUUUCUGCAAUCCUGAAGAAAGAAACAGAAAUGUGUGGCCUCGCCUUUAGUCUGGAGAAUUAAUGUGAACAGCCUUGCCAAGAACACCAUGGCAGCAUGCGGGGCUGUGCUUGCAAAUCACCUUCCGUUUCCAUCCGAAGAUCAGUCAGAGCAGCUAAGAAAUUUUUGGCGAGCCUGUCCAGCAGAGAAGACCGCCUGUUUGCACAGCACAGAUGCUGACAGAUGUCUAGUAACUCAGCACUCAGCUGCAACUUCUGUGCCACCCUGCGCCGCCCAGGAGACAAGAUGAAAUUGCUAGUAUGUGAGAUUUGUGACAGCCUCUGCACGCCAGGACUUCUCGCGUCUUUAUCAUCAGGGACACAACUUAGACCAGUUUCUGCUGUGUGGAACCUUCAUGGACAUAUGAUCCCUGUGGAGACAUGGCUCUGGUUUUGUUGUUUUUAACACAUUCCAUUUUGAAUCAUAAGCUAUUUGAGCUGGACAGGAGACUAUUAAAGACCUAUUCGGUCUCCUGAUCUAUAAACUGAAUUCCACUGAGCCCUGGAAGUCAUCCAAAGUGCUCAGGGCCACUCUAAUUUUACCUCUUCUCUAUAUGCAACCACCCCACGGGUGUCUGCAAGGGACAGCAAAACCUGCAGAUGCCCAAAUCGCUCGCAGAAAACACUGUAGUGUCGGCAAACAUUCCAGAAAGAAGGAACUUUUCUAAAGUCAUGGACAUUUGAAGAAUGACAAAAAAAAAAACAUUAAACAAUUUUGAACGGUUAAAAAUGUAACCCUUUUCUUAACACAAAACAAACAAUAAAGCCAAUUUUUACCUGGAUUGGAUCUAGACA
rnacentral:lncRNA from 1 species